rnacentral:rRNA from 1 species
UACGUAGGGCGCAAGCGUUGUCCGGAAUUAUUGGGCGUAAAGAGCUCGUAGGCGGCUUGUCACGUCGGGUGUGAAAGCCCGGGGCUUAACCCCGGGUCUGCAUUCGAUACGGGCUAGCUAGAGUGUGGUAGGGGAGAUCGGAAUUCCUGGUGUAGCGGUGAAAUGCGCAGAUAUCAGGAGGAACACCGGAGGCGAAGGCGGCUUGCUGGACCUGGUCUGACGCUGAGGCGCGAAAGCGUGGGGAGCGAACAGG